AUUGAACGCUGGCGGCAGGCCUAACACAUGCAAGUCGGGCGAGAGGCGGACGGGUGAGUAAUGUAUGGGGAACUGCCUGAUGGCGGGGGAUAACUACUGGAAACGGUAGCUAAUACCGCAUAGCAUCCGGUGAACACAUAUGGGAUUAUCUUGUAGGUGGGGUAACGGCUCACCUAGGCGACGAUCCCUAGCUGGGCUGAGAGGCUGAUCAUCCACCCUGGAACUGGUACACGGUCCAGACUCCUACGGGAGGCAGCAGUGGGGAAUAUUGCACAAUGGGCGAAAGCCUGAUGCAGCCAUGCCGCGUGUAUGAAGAAGGCCUUCGGGUUGUAAAGUACUUUCAGUCGGGAGGCGUUACCGACAGAAGAAGCACCGGCUAACUCCGUGCCAGCAGCCGCGGUAAUAC
rnacentral:rRNA from 1 species